rnacentral:sRNA from 1 species
GUCACAAGCUCAAGUACAGCUUCAUCCAAUUCAGAAAGUCUGUCUGCAUCUUCUAAAGCUCUGUUUCCUAGCACAGCACAAGCUCAGGCAGCUGUCCAAGGACCUGUUGGUACAGAUUUCAAACCCUUAAAUAGUACCCCUGCAACAAGUACAGAACCCCCAAAGCCUACAUUCCCUGCUUAUACACAGUCUACAGCUUCAACAACUAGUACAACAAAUAGUACUGCAGCUAAACCAGCGGCUUCAAUAACAAGUAAGCCUGCUACACUUACAACAACUAGUGCAACCAGUAAGUUGAUCCAUCCAGAUGAGGAUAUAUCCCUGGUAAGUUGCUUUUAGUUUUCUACGAGCAGCAUUUGAUUUAAAGCCAUUAUAGCAGUUCGUCCCUUUAAAAUAAGUGUUAUUUUGUACUCAGGUGGUCUGUGAUCUGGUUUAAUGCUUACUAAGUGGUUUUUGCCAUUCUGAUUCUUAAGAAAUCAUAAAAUACUUAAAAGUGGACGGAUAUUUCAUGUUUUGGUCUUAGAUGCUUUCUCUCCCCUUCCUGCAGACUGUUUCUAAAAGAAGACAGUAAGUCAGGUUCUUAACUCUCUUAAAAAUCAUUUUAGUUAAACAUAAGUUUGCAAAUGUUAAUUGAAUAAACGUUAAGUGUGAAGUAGAAUCUGCAGAUCCCUUAAGUCCCAUAUAAAUGAAUUAAUUUUGAUACAAAGUUUAGAAUGUUGAUAAUGGCCAGGUGUGGUG